GGAUAUGCCUGCUUCUCGCUUACCCCCAGCGACGGUGACGCUAAAGCAGUUCAUGAGAAAGCAACAAGUGCUCCUUCUCUACAGAAGGAUUUUGCAAGCAAUUCGGCAAGCUCCAAAUGAUUCUUAUUGCAAAUACUUGAAGGACUGGGCAAGGGAGGAAUUCAAAAGGAACAAAAGUGCCACGAAGAGGAUAUGAUCCGGAUGAUGAUUACUCAAGGCAAUAUGCAGCUCAAGGAGUUAGAAAAAACACUUGCUUUAGCAAAACCUUAACUAUAACAUUUUGAAGGAUUUUAAACUUUCCAUGCAUUUUGUUGACUUUGGGCUUAACAAUGGGCAGCCGAGCCAAGUCUUGCUGUUUGUAUGUACAGU